rnacentral:rRNA from 1 species
GAAUUACUGGGCGUAAAGCGCACGCAGGCGGUCUGUCAAGUCGGAUGUGAAAUCCCCGGGCUCAACCUGGGAACUGCAUUCGAAACUGGCAGGCUUGAGUCUUGUAGAGGGGGGUAGAAUUCCAGGUGUAGCGGUGAAAUGCGUAGAGAUCUGGAGGAAUACCGGUGGCGAAGGCGGCCCCCUGGACAAAGACUGACGCUCAGGUGCGAAAGCGUGGGGAGCAAACAGGAUUAGAUACCCUGGUAGUCCACGCCGUAAACGAUGUCUACUUGGAGGUUGUGCCCUUGAGGCGUGGCUUCCGGAGCUAACGCGUUAAGUAGACCGCCUGGGGAGUACGGCCGCAAGGUUAAAACUCAAAUGAAUUGACGGGGGCCCGCACAAGCGGUGGAGCAUGUGGUUUAAUUCGAUGCAACGCGAAGAACC